GACGAACGCUGGCGGCGUGCCUAAUACAUGCAAGUUGAGCGCUGAAGGUUGGUACUUGUACCAACUGGAUGAGCAGCGAACGGGUGAGUAACGCGUGGGGAAUCUGCCUUUGAGCGGGGGACAACAGUUGGAAACGAAUGCUAAUACCGCAUAAAAACUUUAAACACAAGUUUUAAGUUUGAAAGAUGCAAUUGCAUCACUCAAAGAUGAUCCCGCGUUGUAUUAGCUAGUUGGUGAGGUAAAGGCUCACCAAGGCGAUGAUACAUAGCCGACCUGAGAGGGUGAUCGGCCACAUUGGGACUGAGACACGGCCCAAACUCCUACGGGAGGCAGCAGUAGGGAAUCUUCGGCAAUGGACGAAAGUCUGACCGAGCAACGCCGCGUGAGUGAAGAAGGUUUUCGGAUCGUAAAACUCUGUUGGUAGAGAAGGACGUUGGUGAGAGUGGAAAGCUCAUCAAGUGACGGUAACUACCCAGAAAGGGACGGCUAACUACGUG
rnacentral:rRNA from 1 species